rnacentral:lncRNA from 1 species
CAUGAAUUAAGGGAGCAUUGGUUAUAUAUUUAAUGACUAUGAUCUAUUACAUAUGUCCAGCUUAAUAAAAUGCUCAUUUAAUCUCUGUGUAUUCACUUUCCAUAUUCAACUCCUCCUCAGAUUCUGUAUCAUGUCAUGGAGAGAAUCUAGAGUACUUGAAGACGGUGCUGGCAAGAAAAGAGCUAGGAGUCAUCACUUUAUCCUCUGCCAGGCUGACCAAUACAUUUCCGCUGGUCCCCCACCCCACCCUGAGCACAAAGCAUUCUGGGAAAAAAUGAGAGGUCCCAAAAGAAAUGAUGGAGAGUACAGUUUCAGAGAAACCUGAGAAAGUCUUCCCAGGAAUGAACUAAUGCAGAAUGGAAUCAAAAAAGCAGGACAAUUUAAAUUAUAAUGAUAUGAAAAGCCAAUAAUUUUGAAAGGCUUAAAGACUUUGACCCAUCCAGUGAUCUGUUAUGAUUCCAGAGGACUCCAAUCUCCUGAGAGAUAAUGGACUAAAGAAACAGAAUCAAACACAUAGGAUUCCAGAGGACUCAUGAUACAGUAAGCUCUCUACCUCCUGACAGAAAGGUGCAGAAUGAUAACACACAUUUUGGGCCAUGACCACUAUAGGAAUUUAUUUUGCUUGACUAUGUAUAAUUGUUACAUGUGUUUUGUUUUUCUUUUUUUCUUUUUUCUUUUCUUUUUUCAGUAGAGAUGGUAGCUAGAGAAAAAUGCUUAUUAGUUGAAAUAAUUAAAUUAAAAAAAGAAAACCAAA